AACGGGAUGAGUUCAGGUUACAGGUAGGAUCGCAAAAACGGCGUAGUGGGGUAGGUGAAUCCAUUUCAUAAUUGGUCGAUCUGGUCCGGUUCCCGGUUUUGCUGAUCUAACCGGCGUAGGCAAUGAGUGUUUAAAUCAUUUGAAUUGAUCCUUAGAAGUCCCAACUGCCCUAACCGGUUUUUACAGAAAACCCAUCCCCCCCCUCCCAAAAACCCUCUUUUCUCUCUCUCUACUCCUCUUCUCUCCCAUCAUCAUCAUCAACUCAUGAUCAAACACUACGAUUCUUCACUCUUCAAAAAUCACGCACAUACCAAACCCAUGUUCACAAUCUUUUGAUUAAUAACCAAAGAAAAGACUUUGAGAAUAGCAUCAAUGAGCUUGGAUUCACUAGAACCCUCGCCAAUUUCACAAACUAAGCAAGACCCAGCAUGGAAACAUUGUCAACUUUUUGUUAAGAAAAAUGCCAAUGGGGUCAAAGAAGAGCUUAAGAAGUGUACAUAUUGUGGCAAGUUUUUUAAGGGUGGUGGGAUACAUAGGAUCAAAGAACAUCUUGCCGGUCGCAAAGGGAAUGGCCCCACUUGCGACCAAGUCCCCCCCGAAGUUCGCUUUUUGAUGAAACAGGUGUUGAAUGCUAGGAAUUCGGGUGCUAAGAAAAACAAGACUCAAAUCAUUAUCUCAACAACUCCUAGUGUUGUUGAUCAUACGCCUCUUAAGUUGAUUGAAGCACCCGAUUUGGGUUGUACUGGUGGAGGAGUAGGCAAUGAGUCUGUUGAUCAGGCGUUUAUUGGGUCGAUUAGUGCACCCAAUUUGGAUUUGUUGGCAAAUCAAGAAGAAGAUGUUGCUACAAGUAAUGUGAGUGUAGAUGGGAGGAAGAGGAGGAGAGAUUUAAAUGCUUCUGUACUUGAUCCUAGUGCCAGUGCUAAUAGUAAUGGUGGCAUUGACUUUAGCAGCCCGUCCCCGGUUCCUUGUGAAAUAGACAAUGUGUUUGCUAAUCAUGCACGAAGCAAAUCCGGUGGAGCACCCAAUUCCAAGUUGUUAGUGAAUCAUGAAGAAGAAGAAGAAGAAGAAAUUGGGAUAGGCAGUACAAGCAUGGAUAGGAAGAAGAGGUUUAGAGGUGAAAAUUCUUUAGUUGCUAUGGAUGCUGGUGUUGUUAAUAAUGACAUUGAACUGGAAAGGAAAAAGAAUCAAGAAAUUCAGAUGGCUAUAGGGCGGUUUUUAUAUGAAAUUGGUGCACCCCUGGAUGCAGUGAAGGACUCGGUUUAUUUUCAGCCCAUGAUUGAUGCGAUUGUCUCUGGGGGAACAGGGGUGGUACCGCCUUCCUACCAUGAUCUUCGGGGUUGGAUAUUGAAGAGUGCAGUUGAAGAAGUGAAGCAUGAUGUUCAGCAGUAUAUGGGAACAUGGAGGAGAACGGGUUGUUCUAUUUUGGUGAACCGAAGGUACUCACAAAAGGGUAAAACGUUUCUGACUUUUACAGUGUAUUGUCCUGAAAGAACAUUGUUUCUGAAAUCUGUGGAUGCAUCUGCUAUCAUUUAUUCACCAGAUGCUUUAUAUGAAUUGCUUAAACAAGUGGUGGAAGAAGUUGGAGUUGAGCAUGUUCUGCAAGUGAUUACUGAUAACACAGAAAAAUUGAUCGUUGCGGGAAAAAGGUUGAUGGAUACAAUUCCUACCCUAUAUUGGGUUCCCUGUGUGGCUCAUUGUAUAAAUCUGAUCCUCGAGGAUUUUGGGAAACUUGAGUGGAUUAAUUCAAUAAUUGAACAGGCUAGAUCUAUUACAAGGUUUGUCUACAAGCAUAGUAUGGUUUUAAAUAUGAUGAAGAAAUUUACUUUUGGCAAUGACAUUGUAAAACCCGGACUCACGCCCAUUGCAACAAACUUUAUGACAUUGAAACAAAUGGCUGAACUUAAACUUUGUCUGCAAUCUAUGGUUACUUCCCAAGAGUGGAUGGACUGUCCAUUUUCAAAACAACCGGGGGGGCUGACAAUGCUACAUACAGUAACUAAUCGUUCGUUUUGGUCUUCAUGCAUCUUGAUUAGCCGUUUGACAAGUCCACUCUUGCGAGUUUUGAGAAUUGUUGGUAGUGAGAAGAGGGCUGCAAUGGGAUACAUUUAUGCUGGAAUGUACCGGGCAAAAGAAGCAAUUAAGAGAGAACUUGUUGAGAGACGGGAUUAUAUGGCCUACUGGAAUAUCAUAGCUCACAGGUGGGAACAACAACGGCAUCCUCCUCUUCAUGCUGCUGGUUUCUACCUUAACCCCAAGUUUUUCUAUAGUCUCAAAGGGUGUGUUCAUAAUGGGAUCAUGUCUGCGAUGUUUGACUGCAUAGAGAGAUUGGUGCCUGAUACUAAAGUCCAGGAUAAAAUCAUCAAAGAGAUAAACUCAUACAAGAAUGCUGUUGGGGAUUUGGGGAGGAAUUUGGCAAUUAGAAGUAGAGACACUCUGCUGCCUGUUGAAUGGUGGUCUACGUAUGGAGGAGGUUGCCCAAACUUGGCACGUUUGGCAGUCCGUAUUCUUAGUCAAACUUGCAGUUCUAUCAGUUAUAAGCAAAGUCAAAUUUCUUUUGAACAUAUAUAUGAAACAAGGAAUUGCCUUGAGCGUCAGCGGUUUAGUGAUCUUUUCUUUGUUCAGUGCAACUUGCGUCUGAGACAAAUGGUUCAUAAGAACAAAGAACACGAUUAUAUGGAUCCAAUAUCAUUUGACUGCAUGAGUCUUGUUGAAGAUUGGGUAAUGGAAAAGGAAGUAUGCUUUGAGGACUGUGGGAGUUCAGAUUGGGUGUCACUUAAUCCACCCACCACUAACACGAUGCAGUUAGGAGCCUUAGUUGAUGAUGAUGCCGAAGACUUGGGCAUAGGGUUUGAUGAUAACGAGAUCUUUGAUGGAUCAAAGUAGAUGAAGAUAGAAAUGUUCAACAAUCAAUUAAGCUAGUAGGACAUCCAACAGGCUUCUUAUCUAUCUGGUGGUGUUCUGCAUUGACACAUAUUUACCAUUUUGACUAUGAUCAGAUGGAGAAAGAAGUGAUUUAGUGGCCAAGGUGAGCUUGGAUUAAGGACAAAAGAAAAGAUUUAAUCAAAUUUUGGAAACAAAAAAAUACAAAAUAAACACCAGCACGUGCCAGAGGCUAGCAAAACAACGUAGCAUCCAUUCUUGGUGACCCAUAAGCUGCACAUGCCAGAGGCUGGCAAAACAACAUUGCGUAGCCCAUAAGCUGGGAUUUCCCCCAAAUCCAAUUGACCUUUGUUAAACAACAUUGACCUUCUCCCGCCCAUUGAUUCAUGGAAAGAGACAAGUGCAAUAGAGGGAAAGGAAGAAGGAAAAAUUUUCAGAUCUUGGAGCGUUCUUAGUUGAGUGGAUUGACGAAUCUUGUUGGGGUUUUCAAUCGUUGGUGUUUUGACUUUUAGAAAUCCAUUAAUCUGUGUUAGUUUCUGUAUUUUGUAAGUAAAUUAAGGAUUUUUAUUCUAAAUUUACUUUUUUCAUAAGAUUUUUAAAAGUUCAAUUUUAGAAAAUGAGUUUCUUCAUGUAAUCCCAUUACUUGAUUCUUGUAAUAUUAUGUUUUCUUUGUA